rnacentral:rRNA from 1 species
GAUGAACGCUGGCGGCGUGCUUAACACAUGCAAGUCGAACGGAAAGGCCCAAGCUUGCUUGGGUACUCGAGUGGCGAACGGGUGAGUAACACGUGGGUGAUCUGCCCUGCACUUCGGGAUAAGCCUGGGAAACUGGGUCUAAUACCGGAUAGGACCACAUUUUGGAUGGUGUGGUAGAAAGUUUUUCGGUGUGGGAUGAGCUCGCGGCCUAUCAGCUUGUUGGUGGGGUAAUGGCCUACCAAGGCGUCGACGGGUAGCCGGCCUGAGAGGGUGUACGGCCACAUUGGGACUGAGAUACGGCCCAGACUCCUACGGGAGGCAGCAGUGGGGAAUAUUGCACAAUGGGCGCAAGCCUGAUGCAGCGACGCCGCGUGGGGGAUGACGGCCUUCGGGUUGUAAACUCCUUUCGCUAGGGACGAAGCGUUUUUGUGACGGUACCUGGAGAAGAAGCACCGGCUAACUACGUG